rnacentral:rRNA from 1 species
AGUGAACGCUGGCGGUAGGCCUAACACAUGCCAGUCGAACGGCAGCACAGUAAGAGCUUGCUCUUACGGGUGGCGAGUGGCGGACGGGUGAGGAAUACAUCGGAAUCUACUUUUUCGUGGGGGAUAACGUAGGGAAACUUACGCUAAUACCGCAUACGACCUACGGGUGAAAGCAGGGGAUCUUCGGACCUUGCGCGAUUGAAUGCGCCGAUGUCGGAUUAGCUAGUUGGCGGGGUAAAGGCCCACCAAGGCGACGAUCCGUAGCUGGUCUGAGAGGAUGAUCAGCCACACUGGAGCUGAGACACGGUCCAGACUCCUACGGGAGGCAGCAGUGGGGAAUAUUGGACAAUGGGCGCAAGCCUGAUCCAGCCAUACCGCGUGGGUGAAGAAGGCCUUCGGGUUGUAAAGCCCUUUUGUUGGGAAAGAAAAGCAGCAGGUUAAUACCCCGCUGUUCUGACGGUACCCAAAGAAUAAGCACCGGCUAACUUCGUG